CGACUCCUUGGCUCACCCUGACUGCAUCUCAGAUAUUUUACUUCUUAGUUUGCCACCUCUGUGGGAGAAGCAGUUCUCUGCCUCUGUCAACAUCUUGGUGUUGCUCUGCUGUUUCCCAGUGUCCUGGACCACAGGAGCCCCCGGAGGAGAAAAGCAGAGGUCUUCAGGACAAUCUGCCUUCUGCUCACAGACCUGCGUAUGCACACCAUGCAGGGUCCUCAUCGCAGGCUGCAAAUACUUCUGAGGCCAAGAAGUAUCUCAUCUCUGCAGCUGGCACUGCCUUUCCUGCUUCUGCCUGUGGCUGCAGUCAACUGGGAACGACUGAUAAGGAGCAGGGCAACUGAGGCACAGAAGUCAAGAAACUUCGCAAGGAUGUUGUUAGACUUUCCUUGUCUACAACAAGUGACGGAGAGAAACUGUUUCAAGGAGGAAAGGAGUGUUUUGGCUUGCUUCCGGCCUCUUCAGUCCAGGCUUGGUGGUCCUCAGGAUGCUGUGGAAGGAGGCACGGGCCCUGUCUGGUUCUUCAGGACUUGCUCCAGAAUCGCCACCUUGGCCAUGCCUACAAAGCAUGUGCUGACAUGCUGACACAGGUGUGGAUGUGGCUUCCUGCAAAGAGAAGAAUGAAUUGCCAGUGCCCUGGUUGGUUGAGAGAGUCAUGAGAAUGUGAUGAGAAGAGCACUAAGAAUUCUGAUGGCCUGUGGUGUGAUGGACAUCUGGCUGUCACUGAGCCGCC